rnacentral:rRNA from 1 species
UGCCAGCAGCCGCGGUAAUACGGAGGGUGCAAGCGUUGCUCGGAAUCACUGGGCGUAAAGGGUACGCAGGCGGCUUGUUAAGUCGGGUGUGAAAGCCCAGGGCUCAACCCUGGAACUGCGCCCGAUACUGGCAAGCUUGAGUACGGGAGAGGGAAGCGGAAUUCCUGGUGUAGAGGUGAAAUUCGUAGAUAUCAGGAGGAACACCAGUGGCGAAAGCGGCUUCCUGGCCCGAUACUGACGCUCAUGUACGAAAGCGUGGGGAGCAAACAGGAUUAGAUA